rnacentral:lncRNA from 1 species
GACAAAGAGUAGAGAGAAAGGUAAUUCUAAAGCUAAUGCGAAAUGCUGGACAUUUUGCUUUUGGGAGGCGGUGAGAGACUCAGCUGGCCGGGAAGGGGGCCUAUGAGCCACUGAGUUUCUAACAAUGUAAUCAAGAGUCAACACGUGGGCAGAAAAUAGGACGCUUUGAAAUUCACUAUCUUCAGAAAGCCUUUCCAGACUCCAGCUACUCUUCUGCCGCGGCUUUCUUACUUCUUUUCUCUUCUCGGCUUAUUUGGGUUGGCUUCUUUGCCCACGACUGUCACUCUCCACCAAAGACAGAGGAUCCGAUGCAGGAGGCAGACAGAGCUGGGCUUCAACGCCAUGCCACUUGCUGUGUGCAGAGUAUGGCCAAUUGUCUCCUGAGCCUACUUAGCAGCUCUACAGGAUCGAACACUGUUCCCCAAAAUUCAUGUCCACCUGGAACCUGGGAAUAUGACCUUAUUUGGAAAUAGGGCCUUU